CGCAGAUAAAGAUUGUCGCCUUAAAGACGAAGAACUUACAACAUGUAAAGAAUAUUUACAAGAAGUAGAAGAAAGGCUCAAAGCUAAAGGUGAAGGUAGGUUAAUUCAAACCUUCAAAUUUAGAGCUGUGUAAUAAGCCGCAAGGUCAAGUGUUGACCUUGCUGCAAAGGCAUUUCAAUACUUCUGCAGUUUUAUGUGGAACCCAUUUUCAAUGUUCACACUUCAUUUCGAGUUGUGCAGGGCUGUACGGUGCUUACAAGAUACAA